rnacentral:rRNA from 1 species
CGGGACGGGUGAGUAACGCGUGGGUAACCUGCCUCAUACAGGGGGAUAACAGUUAGAAAUGACUGCUAAUACCGCAUAAGCGCACAAAACUGCAUGGUUUGGUGUGAAAAACUGAGGUGGUAUGAGAUGGACCCGCGUCUGAUUAGCUAGUUGGAGAGGUAACGGCUCACCAAGGCAACGAUCAGUAGCCGACCUGAGAGGGUGACCGGCCACAUUGGGACUGAGACACGGCCCAAACUCCUACGGGAGGCAGCAG